GGGACACAGUCACUGGGCAUGGUGGGGAUGGGUUGGGGUUGGACUUAGUGACCUUCAUGGUCUUUCCAACCUUAAUGAUUCUGUGGUUCU
rnacentral:miRNA from 7 species